rnacentral:rRNA from 1 species
GGCCGCGGGAAUUGGAUUCAGGCCUAACACAUGCAAGUCGAGCGAUUCUCUUCGGAGAAGAGCGGCGGACGGGUGAGUAACGCGUGGGUAACCUGCCCUGUACACACGGAUAACAUCCCGAAAGGUGUGCUAAUACGAGAUAAUAUGCUUUUAUCGCAUGGUAGAAGUAUCAAAGCUCCGGCGGUACAGGAUGGACCCGCGUGUGAUUAGAUAGUUGGUAAGGUAACGGCUUACCAAGGCGACGAUCAGUAGCCGACCUGAGAGGGUGAUCGGCCACAUUGGAAGUGAGACACGGUCCAAACUCCUACGGGAGGCAGCAGUGGGGAAUAUUGCAAAAGGGGCGAAAGCCUGAUGCACGCAACGCCGC